rnacentral:lncRNA from 1 species
UUCCACUGUGCCACCUAGAAGCCACAGCAGGGACAAUAUCAAAGGGAGGACAUAACUGUGUUUAAUGCCAGCAGCAGAAGAUUAGCACUACCCAGGUAGUGAUGCUGGCCAAUUCACUGGCUAAAGACUGAAUUUGAAAAUGCACGUUAUUUCAGGAUCUAAAAUGGCUUCUCUUCCACAGAUGCUUUCUUUAUACAAACAGUGUAUCCAUGUACUGCAAAACAAUAUUGAUGGUAAGUAUUUUUUCCUGUUUCUUAUUAUGUAGCUGCCCAUCCGUCAGUCAGUCCACAAAGUCCUUUGUCUGUAGAGUACAGUCUGUUUCAUACGUACCCUUCAGAGAAAGCUUAUCUGAAUUAAGUAGAACAGUGGUUGGUAGUGAAGAAUAUCCAGAGAAUCUGAAGUUUUCUGUGUUGUUUGACAGUGCUCCAUGAAGUUGGUGGCAUCCCCUUUGACAUCCUCGAACCAGUGUUGGAAUGCUUGUACCCGCAAACAAUUGUGAAGAGUAGAGGAUUAUAAUCCGACCUUUAUCAAACUGGCUGAUCAUUUGUGGAAGAGGCAUUGCCAGAGAGAAUUUAAAACCGAGCAGCACCAGGAUGAAGAAUCAUGGCGUGAAAUGUACUUUAGGCUUUUUGGUCAGAGAGAGCAAAACUUGAAGACCCUCACAAAGAGCAUCGUUUUGUCGCAGUCUGAAAAGCCCAAAGGGUGUCAGAUCAAAAUGGCCUAUGUUCAGGGUGUGGCAAAGCCUCCUAGAGAACUCAGGGGUCAUCCAGAGAGCUGCAGUCCAUCUACAAUUCCUUUUAACAGACUCAGCAAAAGAAAGCUUGCAAAUGAAGAGAGAAAUGAUUCAGGAAGUGGUAGUGUGGCAGCAGCAAAUACCAGUUUUUCAGGGGGAUCACAGCAAGAUGCAAAAAGGGUGAAAAAAAUUGCUCCUGUGAUGGCCAAAUCCCUGAAGACAUUUAAGAACCACAUUGGACCGUGGCAGAGCCGAUUCUGAAUGACAGAAGUGCUAAUCUAUGAACUGGAUUAGAAUUUCUAAUCUGGUAGAAAGGGAGUAUAACCUUGUUAAUUUUGUUUGUUCAUGUUAGCCACCUCAAGGAUCAAUACAUAAAAUAUGAUUUAAGCAAAGGAGGUUGCCAGUAGAUAAAAUUUUCUCUUGGACUCUCACAAUGCUACUUUGUAGUAGAGUGAUCAAGAGAUGAGAUAGAGACUAUAAUGAGAUUGUACCAUUUCAUGCUGCAAUUUUUCUGUUGCUAAUAAAUUCUCAAAUUCAUGUGUUCUGACUUCUUAU